GCAUUUCUCUUCGUGUUACUCUGCAGAGGCAGCACCUCACUGCAGGUGCUUCCUGGUCCCGUUUGGGAACUGCUCCUGUUCCUCAUUGAGCACUGCUGCACCUCAAGGUCUAUAUGUGGAGGUUACUGCACAUGCAGUAGCCAGGAACCCUCAGCCUUGUAUCAGCAGGCACGUUGCCUGCCCUACCUUGUCUCCUGCCUGUGCUCUGCCUGCAUCUGAUGGAAGCACUCAGAGCUUCUUGGAGACUUCUGGGGAGAGUGGCUGGUCAGAGGCCCCACGUUGUCCUGAUGUCCUUGUAGUGCCAUUCCUUCUUUGUACAGAUCUGUGGCCCCGAUGUGCAGUGCCGCGUAGGGUGUGAGGUGGUGCUGCAGCUCCCAAGGACAAAAUACUGGAGAUCCUCCAGGUGAGUGGGAGCUGAAGGUGCCCCACAGCAGACUAGCUUUGGGGGAGCAGAUGGUUGUAAACUCACAGUGCUGCGAUCACAAUCCUUGUCUAUUUUUAUGCAUCUCUUAAAAGAAAAUACUGGGUUUUGAUUAUGGUUUAAUACAGGCUGCUGGAGGUGUGAAGCAGUAUAUCAAACUGCUGUUUGAAGGCAGGGGGUUGCGACUGAAUUUUGCUUGGUUUCAGAGGAUAUUCUAAGAAAUAGUCCCAAAAGAGCUGCUGUGAGAAUGGAGGCUGGCAGUGCAAAGGGAGUCCCGAGUUCUGCCUGGUGCUGCAUUGUCUGCAAUAAUAGUGGUGUCCUCCCUUGUGUUUGCUUGGUCUUAAUGUGUCUUCAACAGAGCACCUGAAAAUAAGAGCCAAGAGGUGCUUUGCAGAGGCAAUUUGUGUUGGCUGAGGAGCUUUGUAUGUUUUUGCUUCUCCUGUGAUGCGUUCUCCCAGCUGUACAGGGCCGUUUGGAGAGGGUUUGGUGGUAAUUUCCCUCCGUAGAAUCAUAGAGUGGUUCUGGUUGGAAGAAACCUUUCAAGACCACGUAGUUCCAAGCCCCUGCUAUAGGCAGGGACACCUCUUGCUAGACCAGGCUGCUCGCAACCCCAUCCAGCCUGGGCUCGAGUGUCUGCAGGGAGGGAGCAUCCACAGCCUCACUGGGCAACCUUUACUGUGAGAAAUUCUUUUCCAGUGUCUCACAGAUAGAUGUCAUUCUUGUGUUUGGGGGGGCCCUAGGAGAAAGCUGGGCUGAUCGUUGUAGUUCAGAGGUCCUUGGUGGAUGGUGGAAAAGAUCCUGUCAGCUUCCUCUGCUCUUAUGUCACUCUGGAGCCAGGAGCAAGUCAGGUAAUCUCCUUGGAGCAGCCUUACCCUAUGGGAGCUGCUCAGGACAGCCUUCCUCCUCUCCUGAUACUGCUGCAGUGCUGCCUUUGCUACUUGGACCUCUGUGUUGUAGCCUCUUGUUUGCUGGGUGGGACCACUGUGUGCCUAUCAGGACACCAUCACGCUUCAAGUUCUUCUGUAGAAAACCUGAUUUUCUCACAAUGUGAUCUGCA
rnacentral:lncRNA from 1 species